UUUUCCUUGCAGUUAUAUUAGAGGCAUGAAUGAAACACUCACCGUUUUAUACGUAAACAAUUGUGCCUUGGACUAUGACAUGGCGAGCGGACGUGGCACUAGUGGCCACGUCACCGACCGCAAUAGCUGGGAUUGGACAGUGCCUUCGUCUCUGCCACAAAGGAAGAGCAGCACUCGAUCGAUCUUCUUUCGUUUUUGCACUAGAAUUCGAUGGUAAGGACCUCAAGCUCUUGAAUUUGCUUCUCCAGGCAGAGUCGCUGGACCGUAUCACUGUGAAGAAUUCGGCACUUCUCUCGUCGAGCUCGACCCCAGAUAAAUGGAAACUAAAUUGAUCGUCGUGGGAAGAACUUAUCUCUGAUCUUUGCCGUUGUUGCUGCUGCUGCUGCUGUUGCCGCUGGAUUAUGAAGCUAGCAUUUUCUUUCACCCAUCUCCUGAGCAGUUU
rnacentral:lncRNA from 1 species